rnacentral:rRNA from 1 species
CGUCGCCCGAGUUGUAUUCUGGAGAAGCGUCUUCCGCGUCGGACCGUGUACAAGUGCCUUGGAACAGGACGUCAUAGAGGGUGAGAAUCCCGUCUUUGACACGGACGCCCGAUGCUCUGUGAUGCGCUCUCGAAGAGUCGAGUUGUUUGGGAAUGCAGCUCAAAAYGGGUGGUAAAUUCCAUCUAAAGCUAAAUAUUGGCGAGAGACCGAUAGCGAACAAGUACCGUGAGGGAAAGAUGAAAAGCACUUUGGAAAGAGAGUAAAACAGUACGUGAAAUUGUUGAAAGGGAAACGCUUGAAGUCAGUCGCGUCUGCCGGAACUCAGCCUUGCUUCUGCUUGGUGCACUUUCCGGCCCGACGGGCCAGCAUCGGUUUCGAGCGGCGGACAAUGGCGAGGGGAAGGUGGCAGCUCCGGCUGUGUUAUAGCCCCUCGUCGCAAACGCCGCCCGGGACCGAG